rnacentral:snoRNA from 1 species
AACCCAUGAUGGGGAAAAUUUAUAGUGUAUCCUUUAAGUCUCUCCCAUGCUUCCUCAAAGGUCUCAUGGAUUUCUUGUUUGAAGCUCGAGAUGACUUUCCUAGCUU